rnacentral:lncRNA from 1 species
AUUUAAAUUUAUGAGCUUGUCAUAUUUCAUUAAAAAAAUCGAUAGCCUACAUUUAAAGUAUCUCCAAGAAGAAAAAAAAAAGUGCUGUUAACAAUGACCAAAGAACAAAGCAGGAAAAACAAUAAUUAAGGGACCAAAAUGGUUAACAACCCCCAAUUCUAACAGUGAAGUUCUUGGAUGAUGUGGUGCAUGUACGAGUGUGGUCUUUUUUUACGUUUGAUCAAAGGGAAAGAAUGUAAAGAUACAACUCCAGUCAAAAAAUCAGCUUCAAAUGUUAGAAAAUAUCCACGGACUUGCAUCUGAAGAAAGUUAGGCAACUGUUUUACGACUUUACACACGCUAAAUUCAACUACACAGCGGUUCUUCCAUUUUACAUUCGUAUAAAUCAAUUUCGCAGUUCCAAUUACAUAUAAUGUAUGAAUGGCAAAUUUUUCG